GGGAUAAUGGAAUAGGACCCUGUCCUCCUAUUUUCAGUUGGUUUUGGCAGCGCGAGGACUAGGGUAAUGAUUAAUAGGGAUAGUUGGGGGCAUUAAUAUUUAAUUGUCAGAGGUGAAAUUCUUGGAUUUAUGAAAGAUUAACUUCUGCGAAAGCAUCUGCCAAGGAUGUUUUCAUUAAUCAAGAACGAAAGUUAGGGGAUCGAAGACGAUCAGAUACCGUCGUAGUCUUAACCAUAAACGAUGCCGACCAGCGAUUAGGAGACGUUGAAUACAAAACACCACCAUCGGUGCGGUCGUCCUUGGCGUCGGUCUUUCGGGGCCGGCGCGGGGGCGGCUUAGCCCGGUGGCACCGGUGAAUGACUCCCCUAGCAGCUUGUGAGAAAUCAUAAGUCUUUGGGUUCCGGGGGGAGUAUGGUCGCAAGGCUGAAACUUAAAGGAAUUGACGGAAGGGCACCACCAGGAGUGGAGCCUGCGGCUUAAUUUGACUCAAC
rnacentral:rRNA from 1 species